rnacentral:lncRNA from 1 species
CCUGUGGCAGGAUCUUAAAAUUGACUCAAUUGCUGCUUUCACCUUUGGUAUGUAAUGGCCAAUUCCAUGGCCUGUUAAGGAACAUUAAGACAAGUUACGUGUAUGAAAAGACAGGUUUAUUACAACCAACUAACGACCUAAUUCAGGUUAACAGGUUACCGUUGAAUAUUUCCAAGCCAACAUACUGGCUUGAAGGUGACAUAACGAGGGCAAGCAAAGCGCGAAUACCAAUAAUCUUUGCUUCACUUGGACUAUCUUGUUUCAACAGUUCUAGUAACAUGUGAUUCAUGGCGAAGUCAAGGUUAUGAUCAGCUAUGGUCACACAAAACUCAACGAGUUUAUCUUGUUGGACAUCUUGAGUGAGCAUUCCUUUUCUCAGAACUGUUAACAAUUGUGAUGUCACGCUAUCCAAGUAAUCCCAUAUACGAUUUGGUGGCUGGGUAGCAGCAUAGACACUUAAAUAGAACCUCAACACCCGGUGAAGACAAUCAAGUGCCAUGUAACGAUGGUUCUUAUCCUGAAAAAUGCACAGUAUGUACUAUAAUGAGUGAAACCAAGAUAUAUAUACUACCAGGAACAGGCUUUAAUAAGAAGCCAAUGUAGUCACAGGUCCUCAGGGUGUGCAGACAGGACAACUACUCUCGUGCAUUCUUACUUAAUUUAAAUUCUGAGUGCAGGCAAACUUACUCUCAGAAGCUUGUACAAUUGUUCCAUGUGAGAGCUUAAAUUAUGAUGAAAUAUAAGCGGGUCUCCGAGACAGAGAAGAAGAGUCACCAGCGGAUAGCCAACCUAUUUGCCCAAUUAUACAUAUUAAGGACUGAAAUAACAAGGACAUGAUAAUAAACUGAUAUAAAAUCAGAUAGACGUACACCAAGAUGCUUGCUCUGUUUCUCCAUCCAAUGAAUUAGCUGCACUCUGAUGCGUCCAACAGCCUCAUACCAAAGUGUCAGCGCAGGCUCUGCGACUGAAGGAGGCCACUGGCUUUUACCACCAUCGGAAAGUGGCGCCAGGAUGUUAGAAAGCAUAUUGCAAAGCGCAUGAUGAAGCUCACUUUUACGCUUGUGGGGAGCACGGUUAAGAGGGUUUGCUUUAGCUACAAAGGAGGCAGACGCAUUUAGCCCACCCUCACUCUUAACCUGGAAAUAAACAUAAUGUCACGUUCGCUUCCUGAAUCUGCAUUUCCUAAGAAAAAAAGAGACAUACCCCAAGCUUUAAGUAUCGCAUCCCAUUAAUGAUGCUGAGAGUUUCACUUCUUGCAACACUUGUGUCAAUCCGGCGGGUAUUGAGCUCCAUGAAAAACCGUUCAGUGACAGAGCUGAAUCUGUUAGUGAAAAAUCACAUUAAUAAAGGAUUAGAAUGGUCGAGGUUCCAACUUUUUUUCAUUUAUACUUUAGCAUGCUUGGAGGACCGUUAACAACUAACAUUACAAAAUGAAAUACCUAAUACGGGAUAGUGCACCCAAGAGCUGAGCAACCAAGUCAAGAAGAAGACCCCUCAAAUCGACCAGCGAUGGGUAUUCUACUUGGCUAACAACCCUGCAACGGAGGAGCACCCAGAACUUAAGCAAAUUGCCAAAGGAUAAAAGCAUACUGAUUGGAAAAUCAUAUAGAUUUCAGCAAGAGAGAUCCUUGAGACUUUUCUUUAUUAAUAGCAUCUGCAUUUGUUUUGAAGGUUAGCAAUAAAUGUUUUCAGGAGGAAGUAUUAGCUAGAGAAUCCUACCUAGAAAUGAGAAAAAGCAAACACGCUAUAAACACCUACAAGAUUUGGUCAUCUUUGACCCUCCCCACAAAAACCAUGUACACCAGAGUAAGCUUUUAAGUAAAAGUAAGUUUACCUAUUGUAGUCCUUGAUGAUGUUAGAAGAGCUUGACUAUAAGUCCUGUGGCAGGAUCUUAAAAUUGACUCAAUUGCUGCUUUCACCUUUGGUAUGUAAUGGCCAAUUCCAUGGCCUGUUAAGGAACAUUAAGACAAGUUACGUGUAUGAAAAGACAGGUUUAUUACAACCAACUAACGACCUAAUUCAGGUUAACAGGUUACCGUUGAAUAUUUCCAAGCCAACAUACUGGCUUGAAGGUGACAUAACGAGGGCAAGCAAAGCGCGAAUACCA